AAUUCCGGAUUUAAAAAAAAAUAACCACAGAGCCAUUCAUCUCCGUCAAACCUCCAUCGUUGUCGUCUUACUGUUGCGCAUAUUAGCGAAAAGACUCAUACAGAGGCAGUCGAGGUCUGCCGAUCUCGUCGUCUCUAUUGAACCCUAUGUUCUUCGUUUCGACCCAUCACCUCACAAUUGAACCCUAUAUCCUUCGUUUUCUCUCCUUCAAACCCUAAAUUGUUGUUAUUAACACCUCUAUCAAACACGCUCGAACACCAAAUUUGUCGCCCUCACCCCUUCUUCGAUGCCUUUCAUUGACAGAAAGAAAGAAAGUAAGAAACUAUCACGCAAAGGAUCUUUUUGCCAAUCCCUUCACUGACGACGACGACGACGACGUUCAUCCCUCAUACACAGGAAACUUGACAUGCUUUGAUAUAUAAAUUAAGAAGUGGCCACAGUAAUAGGUUCAAGUUCUUUGAAAUUUGGUGGAUGAGAAUUUUCUGCAUUUCCUCACAGGUUUAAUUGAAAAGGAGCAUUUUUUUCCUCUGCGUUUUUAAAUGGUAGGUAGAUUGGAACCACUGCCACAACUAUGAACUCUGUUGAAUUUGUGUUUCUCUGCAUCUUUUCUCUCCGGUCGAGCCAAACUAUUGGUUCUUCCUCUGCUAUUCUCUUUCGUUACCUCUUCUUUUUUCCUUUUUCAAUUAGAACGGUCAUUGAGUCCACCAAAAUACCUCUUAUUCCUUUCUUCGCUGUUGUAGGUUUCAACCGUACCAACUGAAGGUAUUUGUUGCUCUUGUUUCCUUUCAUUGUUACUGCUCUUUUGUACAUUUUAUCUUUUGGGCAUCAUUUUUACUUGAUUAAAUUCUUGGGUUUGAAUUUUUGCUGUUAUAUUUCCUCAGCAUUGUGGUUCUCAAUUUGGAUUUUCAGUUUUUCUAGUUAAUUUAUAGUGUACUUAUUGUGAAUACUAUAAGAAUCUUGUAUAUACGUGUGUGUAUUUAGUGUAGGAUAUUUGUUUGUUGAAAAUACUAUUGUGGUGCAUAAUUGUAUGCCUAUUGUGUAAGUCAUUUGAGUUCUGUUUAGUGUAGGUUCAAGUGUAAAUUGUGAAAGUAGUAAUGAAUUUAAAAUUAUAACUGUGAAGUGUAAAUGUUGAAGUUCUUCAAUACUAGUUUCAUUUUGUUUUGCUAGUUCUUAGUGUUUUAUUCUUAUUUUUCAGUUCUUUCAUAUGUGGAGAGAUCAUAUACUGGUGAUAUUUACUAAGUCUUUGAAAAAAUCAUAUAGGUACCAAGCUUACUUUGCACAUGUAACUUAUUUUGUGGUAAAACUUGUAUGUAUCUGCAAUUGUAAAUGAUUCGGGAAGAUGAUAGGUAUGCCUCAAAUCACACAUUGGGAAUGGAUCUGCCACUCUUAGGUAAACAAGUCAGACUGGGGCCAUGUCGGUGAUGCUAUAAUUGUUUAGCUAAGGUUUGUUAUGUAGGUUCUAUUAGUUUGAUAACUACAAUCAAUGAUCUCACCCAUUUUUCUUGUUACUUUCCAAUUAUGCUUUACUAGAUAGAAUUAUCUAGUAAUUACCUCUUUUUCUUAGAGACAACUUGAGUAUGUAUGUAUUGUAUGUCUAGUUUAAUUAUUUCUAUUGUUGAAUUCUAUUGUUAAAAUCGGGCAUACGAUUCAUAGUCAGAACCAAAUUUUAACAACAAUGAAAACUUUUUUAUGGUAUUCUUUGUUUUGAACCGAUUUUACGCAAGCUGUCAGAGGCAGCAGUACUGUACUUCACAAGCCGACAAAGGUGUUGUCAAGGUUCCUUUGUUUCACCCCUGCUCUCUGUUCGUGUUUGUUGAGGUUACUCAAGCGGUCAUGGUUUGUUCUUUGUGCUUGUCUCUUGUGAGGUAGUGUUUAUGAUUUUACUUCCUAUCUUCAUAUCUUUGGUUAGGACUACAUAUUCUUAAAUUUUAGGUUUUUGUAGCAAUUCAUGAUCAUUGAUAUCUUCUAUAGUAUAUUUGUAUUCAGUCAAAUGAUGGAAUGCCUAUGUACUUGAUUUCUUGUACAUCUAUAUAUACAAUGACUAUGUUUUAUUAUACAGGUAGUUUGAGGCCUUCCUUUUUCAAUGAAGUGGGUGGUUCUCAUCAAGUCAUAGGUCGCAGAAGAAAGUAGGGCUAGAGUUUGACAAUCUCUUUUGUAGUGGUCUUUGUGUUUGUACUAAAAUUUGUCAUUGAUUUUCUCAUAAGUAUGGCCAAAGUUUGACAAUAUCUCUUUUGUAGUGGUCUUUGCGUUUGUACUAUUCAAUUCGGAUUUGUCUUAUAGUCGGAUUGGUUUUGUUUAUGAAAUGAAUGUAUUACAAGAGUUUCUGUUUUACUAGA